UACGGAGGGAGCUAGCGUUGUUCGGAAUUACUGGGCGUAAAGCGCGCGUAGGCGGCUUUGUAAGUUAGAGGUGAAAGCCCGGAGCUCAACUCCGGAACUGCCUUUAAAACUGCAUCGCUUGAAUCCAGGAGAGGUGAGUGGAAUUCCGAGUGUAGAGGUGAAAUUCGUAGAUAUUCGGAAGAACACCAGUGGCGAAGGCGGCUCACUGGACUGGUAUUGACGCUGAGGAGCGAAAGCCAGGGGAGCAAACGGG
rnacentral:rRNA from 1 species